CCUACGGGCGGCAGCAGUGGGGAAUAUUGGACAAUGGGGGGAACCCUGAUCCAGCCAUGCCGCGUGUGUGCAGAAGUCCCUCGGGUUGUAAAGCACUUUCAGUGAGGAAGAACGCCUGGUGGUUAAUACCCAUCAGGAAAGACAUCACUCACAGAAGAAGCACCGUCUAACUCCGUGCCAGCAGCCGCGGUAAUACGGAGGGUGCGAGCGUUAAUCGGAAUUACUGGGCGUAAAGCGCGCGUAGGUGGCUUGAUAAGCCGGUUGUGAAAGCCCCGGGCUCAACCUGGGAACGGCAUCCGGAACUGUCAAGCUAGAGUGCAGGAGAGGAAGGUAGAAUUCCCGGUGUAGCGGUGAAAUGCGUAGAGAUCGGGAGGAAUACCAGUGGCGAAGGCGGCCUUCUGGACUGACACUGACACUGAGGUGCGAAAGCGUGGGUAGCAAACAGGAUUAGAUACCCGUGUAGUC
rnacentral:rRNA from 1 species